CCUCGAUAGGGUUUCACAAGCCUUAAAUGCCCAACAAUUUCUCUCUCUCUUCUCUCUCAGUGGUCGGGAACUGCUUCGCUUCUUGAUUUUGUGCUCUUAAAUUUCCUCUGCUGUAAGAGGAAAUAAUCGCGCGAAUUGGAUCCCGCCUUGCAUCAACUGAAUCCGAGACUGCGAUGAAGAUUGCAUGGAUCUUGCUUCUUUUUCCGGAUGCAGAUUCUUCCAGGUUUGGAUGUUUUCGUUCUUGUAAUUUACUAUUUUAAGAUCUGGAAAAAUCGUUCAUAGGAGCUAGUUCGUUAUCGAAAGUCGAAGGUUUGAAUUCGCUUGAGCGGUCUGGAUUUUAUUGAUCUUUGCGCGUGAUGUUGUUUGUGUUAAUGCGUAUUUAGAAUAGUUAAUUGUUUUGUAAGAGUAUACUUGAUUACCUCGUUGAAGGUUUCUGUGUGUUUUUUACUGUUGAUUUGGCGGAAUCGGUUUAUGUUAUAGCUUGAUGAUGUCUCUAUUCGGACUUCGGUGACGGUUUUUCUCGCCUGCUUUGAUUUGAAAAUUAAAUGGUAAUGGAAGAAACUAAAAGUGCUUUUUGUCAAUGUGAACAAAUCAUGGUUUGUGCAGUGCGAUUACUGUGGUCCACGUUUGCGUCAUUGGCUUUCUUGAUUCUUCUGUUAUGCAAUUGUUCUAUGGAUUCACAAUGCGUUUCGAGUAAAAUUCCAUUAACAACGGAUCACUUUGGUUGUUUCUUGUUUUACUAUAUAUAUUUAUAUUUUUUUAAAUUUUGUCCUCCCUCCUGUUGCUUUUAGCAUCUUCUUUAUAGAAGUACUUCGCAGUCUGGCACCACACCGUCGUCGAAUCUUUUAGUGCUCUUUUCCGACCGAGCUCAGAGGAUUUUGUUUUUUCCGUCGGAUUUUGUGCACAAUCCUCCCCCUUGCAUUUAGUAUUGUAAGUUUUUCUAACAAACUUCUGAUCUCGGCAAUAAGAAAUGGUGGAAACUAACCAAGGUAAGUCAGCCUUUUUCCUCUGUUUACGGCAUGUGAAGUUGUUAUAUUUGUUAACAAAUUCUGUUCAUUUCUUGGAAGGUUUUGGGUAAUAAUGGAACCAAAUCGCUCUCUGUUGCAAAAGCUGUUAUUUUGAUUAUGCUGUGGAAUGUGCCACCAAUGCCUCCUGUAUAUAUAUAUAUAUAUAUAUAUAUAUAUAUAUAUAUAUAUAUUGUUAUUACUUACACGCCUUUGGUCGGUCUUAUUUCAGAAGUGAAUAUUAGAAAAUAGCUGUAAUGACAUAUAUAGAUGAAAAGGAAAUCUUAUUAAAGUUUUGUUCUGUUUCCUCGAACCUAUUAAAAGCUUAGUAAGAACUGUUUGUUUUUCUUUACUUCAUGUGAAAACAAACCUGAGUUGUUGAGUUAUUUUUCCGUAUUUCUUGAAAUUUGGCUACGAACCCUUUUCUGGAAAACAAAAAACGAAAUAAUUGGAGAUAUUCUCUUCUACAGCUGCCAACUAUUGCAUGAGCACGCACGGUGUGGCUUGAUCGAACACAGGACCAUGGGAGUAGGCCUGGGCUUGGGCCCUUGGACGAGCUUUGUACAGAUUGGAAGAUGGGCCACAGCUCUUCGACGAGGUAUGUACAGUUUGAAUGCCACUGGUAAGGGAUGUUUCAUUGGUUUAGUCUGGUGGCUUUUAUUUUAUUUUUAUGAAAUAUUUGAAACCAAUCCCUUUGAUAUAUUAUAAUUGACCUAAAAACAUCAGAAAGCCAAACAGAAUCAAACCAGUGGCGAAUUAAACCACUUUAAUUGUAUUCAAUUCUUUCUUUUUUUUUUUUUUUUUAAUGACGUUAGUCUUGCUUGAUUCCAUUUGGACAUAAAUUUAAGACAAAUCAAACCAUUAAUAGUGGUUUGUUUGGAGAUUAAUAUCUUUGUUCAUGUAGGCCCUCUUUUUUCCAUACUCUUUCAGGGUCGAUUGCAACAAGAUGAGUAUUAAUGCUUUUGUGUUUU